GAUGAACGCUGGCGGCGUGCCUAACACAUGCAAGUCGAACGAACAGACGCUGAUCUUGCUCCUCUGACGUUAGCGGCGGACGUGUGAGUAACACGUGUAUCCCCUACCUAUAUUACUGGUAUAACUUCGAGAAACCGGAGCUAAUACCAUAUAAUAUAUUGCACCGCAUUGUUCAAUAGUAAAAUACGGUUUUGCUGUCACUUAUAGAUGGAUCGCCGCCGCAUUGGCUAGUUGUUAAGUUCACGGCUUACGAAGGCGACGAUGCGUAGCCGAACGGAGAGGGUGAUAGGCGACCCGGGAAGUGAGCCACGGACAAGAGUACUACGGGAGGGAGCAGUAGGGAAUGUUAGGCAAUAGGCGGAAGCAUGACGGAGCAACGCGGAGUGAGAGAUGAAGGCCCUCGGUUCGUAAAAAUCUGUUAUUAGGGAAGAACAAAUGUGUCAGGAAAUAUACACGUAUUGACGGUAACUAAUAAAAAAGCAACGGCUAACUACGUG
rnacentral:rRNA from 1 species